CGCGGGUUCAGCGCCCCGCCCCAGCCCCGCCCGCCAGGCCCCGCCUCUCCCCGCCGGCCCCGCCCGCAAGGCUCCGCCCCCCCCGCCGGCCCGAGGCCGGAAGGGGGCCGCCAGGGGCACCGCGAGAGCCGCUGCCGGUGCAGCGCCCUGUACUGCUGCUUCGCGGGGACGCGGUUCGUGGUGCUCGCUACUGUUUGACGGAUGCGAGUCUCUCUCUCGGAUAGGACAAACAAUGCAGAUACCUUAAGAGAAAGAGAAGUUCUGAGGAGCCAAUGAAGAUGCUCGAAAGAGAAAGGGUCCCUGUUAACCAUGUUCCUGGCCCAGAGACUGUGAAGCCACCUAGCCAGGUGCUGUUGGAGUAGAAAAGAAGGCACACCCUGCCCAAGGAGAUCUUAGUCAGAAAAGGAAAGGAAGCUGCCAUUAGCCCAAGUGGGCUGCUGCCUGACGCCCAGAGAGCCAUGGCUUACAGGAGAGAAGGAAGAGGAAAAUGGUACCUGCCACCUGAACAGCAAAGCACACUUGUCUUGGCAAGGACUCCUUUCAGAAAUUUGAUUUGAAGGUGAGGAGAAUGUAACCCACUGGAUUUGGUGACUGGAGGCCUUGUAGGACCCCUGACAACAGCAGUGGACACCAGUGUUUGGCAAUAAGGAUUGAGCAAGAAGCUGGCUAUCUCAGCAAAGAUUAGCACAGAGAGAGGAUUGUGGGCCCAACUGACACUUCAUUUCCUCAUUCCUAUGGCCAGGAUGGAACAUAAACUACACCUCACGCCCCGUUCCCCACCUGAACUUACAUUGUGGGUGGGGGAGGAGAACAGAGAGAGAAUCCUAAACUGGUUGAGUAUUAACCCAGAAGGACCUGAGAGAAAAAAUUGGAAAGUGACUGAGUUACUCUGCAUUGGCAGGAUGAAGCAGAAAAGAGAACUGAAGAACUAAGUUCAGCUAUAGUGUAAUGAAGUUACAUUUUCCGCACCUGAGUCUGUGAGGGAAAAUGUGUACCCACUACAGAUGAAAAAUGGGACUGAUGAAAUUGUCUUCAAGAUCCUUUCUGUGUUGACAAUUCCAUGGCAAUAGAGAUGAGGCUUGAAGCUCUUGAAGGAAGAGACACAGUUAGGCCAAGGCAGGAGCAUUUCAAAAACCUCUAUUGAGUGCCUGGUUACAGGAGACCCGGCAAAUGGGUCUGGGUGGAAAGAGGUCCAAGAAAAUCAAGACCAUUGCGUGUGUAAGCUGUCCCUGUGUGUUUUGAGUUUGUUGCUUCUUAAAAAUUUAAAUUUGGGAACUUGCUAGAGUUAAUUAUUAUUACUAGUGAGAGUCAGCUGAUUUACUCUGAGUAAGCUGAUUUAUAAGCUGCUUUCUUAAGGGAACUAGGAAUAGGCUGUUUAGGGAACUAACUGGUGAACAAACGCAUUUUUACAGGGAGAGCCACAAAGGAUUCUCUCGACCCAGGAAGUCUGAAAGCUGAGAAUUGUUACAGAGUGCACCAUACUUUAGCUUCCCGCCUAAGUGAGCAAUACGUGCUGCAAGCACAAUGGGUUCUCCUGCUUGCAGAGAGGGUGAAAACCUUGAUCCGGGGCUCCCCCACCCUACAGAGGAGAAAGGGUGCCUAGAAUGGUGGGGAAGACACACGCCAGGCAGGAAGCCAGAAAGAAAGCCUUUCUAAGAGAGGAGGGGGAUUAAGCCAAUUUCAAGAAGCUUGAGGGGAAAACUGAUCCAGUGGAGGGGCUGGUGGAGGAGAAACAUCUCUACCUGGAGCCAAGGAGGCAGCUUUGUGCUCCUGCCCAGCAGAGCCCCACGCUUGUCAACAGCAGAGAGCUCAGCCACAGCCAGUGCUGGCAGGAGCAGGAGCAAGCAAGGCUGUUCCUGCCCGGUGAGGAAGAAGUGAGUCAUGGAGGCCGGUGACCAACUCCCUUCAGGGGAACCCCAUGGGCUGACACAGGGAGCGAGAGUGAGUUGUCUUGCUGGAGCAUGUGGGCAAGCAGGAUGCGGCCAAUGCUCACCAGUAUAUAUCAGUGCUAUUGAUCAAUACUCACACCUUUAGAUUUAUACAUGAAGGAGUGAGUGCUGGAGGUAGAGGAACCCUGCCAUAGAUAUCUUUGUUGGCGUUGAAGGCCCUUAUAAAAUACACGGAAGGCUAAGAGUAGAGAUGGGCAGAGGACAUAAACAUGUCACCCUCCAUUUUAAAGGUUGCCACUUGUGAAGAAUAAUGUGGAACGAAAAUUGAAACAUUUGCUACUCCCGGUGUUAACUAGCAGGCUUCAGUUUUCUAGAUGGUAGCUUUUGAUACCAGCACCUCUGGCAGAGAUUACUCAGUGCUUUGCACUAAAUCUGGGAAGGCCUGUUUGACGGGAAACACCUACCUAAUUGAGAGAUUCCACCCCAAACUGGAAGGAGUGGGGAGAAAUUGGUCUAAUAAAACCACAAAACCAAGCAUCAUGGAGGAUAAUCACUAUAGCACAAAGGAACGUGAAAUCAGGGAGAUUUUCAGGUGGAAGCAGCCAGGAAAUGGGUUAGAAGCAGUGUCCGUAGGCUCCAAGAUCUAUUCAGUAUGGUGCAGAAUCUGGGAAACAAACAAAGUGUAUUUAACAUUUUUACACAGUGAGGUAAACAUAAUCCCGUAGGGAUGGGGUGCGAUGCAACCAAUGGCUGGCCCAGGCCUGUCAUCCUUGUAAGAAGAGUGUUGGGAAGGCUGAAGCUCAGAACAAGCCAAAGCUUGUGGGGGAAAAAAGGCUAAAGACAAGUAAAAGUUUUUUUAAAAAAAACUGUUUGGAGCAAGAGGAAUAUGGAGGGUGCCAGCUUGCUGUUUGGGAAAUUUAGUGUGCCGUUUGCAGUUGAUAAAGACCAAGGGAGAAUACACUGGCUGAGUGUUGCUUCUGUCUCCUCCAACAAGAGAAUGCUUUUCAAGCUCCACAGAGCCCAAAAAUACCCAGAGGAGAAGAGAUAGGGGAAGUGAUCCAGGCUGCAAAUACUUACCUGUCAGGGAUGUGCUUGCUGAAAAAUUGUUGUUAAUUAACUUGGUGCACAAAAUGAAGAAGGGCGAGGAGAUAAAAGAGAGCUUUAGACAAAGAGAUUUGAGUACUUAUUUUAGAAGAUCCCCUUUAUGUGGACUAUCCUCUCCCAGCACUCCGGGGAGUAUGUGACAAACUUAAUGGGCUGGCCUUGCCCGCCCACCUGCAAACCCUCUUAAAGUCAGGUUACAGAGACAAGGUAUAACAGAGUUAAACCUGCAGAUUACAGAUCACAGUCAAAAGCCCUGCCAACUUUCCAUUCUUGAAGGUAGGUGCACAGAGCAGAAAAGGUGGGAGAGCAAUAGGAGGUCCUCUGGUCCUGGGGGCAGGGGAGGGAGGCACCAUGUCAUUUUCUGCUAAGCUGACACCUGUUCACAGCAGGUGACUUAAUCACUAAUCUCUUAAAAUAACAGCUUGUUCCCUAAGCAUUCUGGGUUCCUAGUAAAAAAGGCUCUUCAAUGGUUUCUUUUAAAGAGCCAUACCUAAUCAUAGUAUGAAAUUAGGCAAAAUAUUUCGGAAAAGAACAGAGAAUUUAAAAAUUCAACUUUGACCUCAUCGUCUAGAAAUUGCCUUUGUUAAAAUUUUCUUCUAUAGUGUUUAUUUUUUUCCUCUGAUAACAGUAGGGCAUACAUAGGAUUAAAAUUCAGACUAUAGAGAAAAAUUUAAAGAAUAAAAUAAAAACUGCCUGGAAUUCCACCACUGGUCAUAUUAUGGUAUUUUUCCUUCCAGUCUUUUUUCUCUGCACACAUACACACAUAUACAUACCUAUAGAUAAAUUUUUAAUAAAAUAUGAAUCAUAUUUGCAGUUUUGUAGUCUAUUUUUUGCACCUAAAAUUAUGUUCUGAACAUUUUCUUUAUCAUUAAAUGCUGUUCGAGAACAUGAUUGUAAUUGGCCAUCUGCUAUUUUACUACGCCAUGGUUCAUCUAACCAUUGCUUGGCUUGUUUCCAAUUCUUCACCAUUUGAAAAC
ensembl:lncRNA